rnacentral:sRNA from 1 species
GAGUUGAGCGCAGCGAAACAACGGAGCCGCUCGCGGCGACGGCCCGAAGGGCGAGUGAAGCGAGUCAUCCUGCACGACCCACCA